GGAAAGGUGAAAAGCACCCCGAUGAGGGGAGUGAAACAGUACCUGAAACCGGUUGCCUACAAGCAGUGGGAGGAUCCUUGAGAUCUGACCGCGUACCUCUUGCAUAAUGGGUCAGUGACUUAAUGUAUCGAGCAAGCUUAAGCCGUUAGGUGUAGGCGCAGCGAAAGCGAGUCUGAACAGGGCGACCAGUCGCCGGCAGAAGACCCGAAACCUGGUGAUCUAGCCAUGGACAGGCUGAAGGUGGGGUAGCACCCACUGGAGGGCCGAACCCACGCCUGUUGAAAAAGUCGGGGAUGAGCUGUGGCUAGGGGUGAAAGGCCAAUCAAACCAGGAAAUAGCUGGUUCUCCGCGAAAGAUAUUUAGGUAUCGCCUCGGAUGAAUACCUCAGGGGGUAGAG
rnacentral:rRNA from 1 species